UACGUAGGUGACAAGCGUUGUCCGGAUUUACUGGGCGUAAAGAGCGCGCAGGCGGUCGUUCAAGUCGAGUGUGAAAGCCCCCGGCUCAACUGGGGAGGGUCAUUCGAUACUGAUCGACUCGAAGGCAGGAGAGGGAAGUGGAAUUCCCGGUGUAGUGGUGAAAUGCGUAGAUAUCGGGAGGAACACCAGUGGCGAAGGCGGGUCUCUGGGCCGAUACUGACGCUGAGGAGCGAAAGCGUGGGGAGCGAACAGG
rnacentral:rRNA from 1 species